rnacentral:lncRNA from 1 species
AUGGCCCCUGACUUCUCAGCGUAGCUCUUUCUGGAAGUCUGACCACAUUUUCUGUUGGUAACAGCAGUGUCACAGACCAGCUGCUCUGCUGGGGAAGAAAAUCUGCUCCACUUGCAGGAUACUUAAGUCCAGCACUGGAGGAAGCAUAAUUGAAAGAGCCCACAGCUGAGGCCAAGGCAUAAAGACCCUUGCUUCCAUGUGAGAAUGACUGAGAAUACUGUCUUGGUUGCGUAAAAGUCAUCAUGAAGAGAAUCAGGGACCUCUGCAUCUCCAAGUGUAUUUCUACCUCCCAGCUGUGAACCCAGAAUAGGGCAUCCAUUGAAUAAACAAUGAUUCCAUACUUCUAUGUGGUGCUUC